rnacentral:rRNA from 1 species
CACCCGCAGCUCGAGUGGUGGUCACUUUUAUUGAGCCUAAAGCGUUUGUAGCCGGUUUUGCAAAUCUUCAGAUAAAUUCCUCUGCUUAACAGAUGAUCUUCUGAAGAGACUGCGAGACUUGGGACCGGGUGAGGUUGAAGGUACUUCCGGGGUAGGGGUAAAAUCCUGUAAUCCUGGAAGGACGACCGGUGGCGAAGGCGUUCAACUAGAACGGAUCCGACGGUGAGGAACGAGGGCUAGGGUAGCAAACCGGAUUAGAUACCCGGGUAGUCCUAGCUGUAAACACUGCCCACUUGGUGUUGCCCCUCCGAUGAGGGGAGGCAGUGCCGGAGCGAAGGUGUUAAGUGGGCCGCUUGGGGAGUAUGGUCGCAAGGCUGAAACUUAAAGGAAUUGGCGGGGGAGCACCGCAACGGGAGGAGCGUGCGGUUUAAUUGGAUUCAACGCCGGAAAACUCACCGGGAGCGACCUUUGGAUGAGAGUCAGCCUGAUGAGCUUACUCGAUAGAAGGAGAGGUGGUGCAUGGCCGUCGUCAGCUCGUACCGUAGGGCGUUCACUUAAGUGUGAUAACGAGCGAGACCCCCAUCUCUAAUUGCUAACGUGCAUUCGCGUGUAUGCGCACUUUAGAGGGACCGCCAGUGCUAAACUGGAGGAAGGAGGGGUCGACGGCAGGUCAGUACGCCCCGAAUCUCCCGGCCAACACGCGCGCUACAAAGGGCAGGCCAAUGAGUCGCCACCUCGAAAGGGGGAGCUAAUCUCGACACCUGUUCGUAGUUAGGAUUGAGGGCUGUAACUCGCCCUCAUGAAUGUGGAUUCCGUAGUAAUCGCGGGUCAACAGCCCGCGGUGAAUAUGCCCCUCCUCCU